rnacentral:rRNA from 1 species
GUAGUCCUUGCCGUAAACGAUGUAUACUUGGUGUAACUGGACUCAACCCCGGUUGUGCCGUAGCAAACGCGUUAAGUAUACCGCCUGGGGAGUACAGUCGCAAGGCUGAAACUCAAAAGAAUUGACGGGGACCCGCACAAGCAGUGGAGCAUGUGGUUUAAUUCGAUGCAACGCGAAAAACCUUACCCAGGCUUGACAUGCACUGGACGAUACCAGAAAUGGUAUUUCCCUUCGGGGCCGGUGCACAGGUGCUGCAUGGCUGUCGUCAGCUCGUGCCGUGAGGUGUUUGGUUAAGUCCAGCAACGAGCGCAACCCUUAUCAUUAGUUGCCAACACGUUAUGGUGGGAACUCUAAUGAGACUGCCUGGGUUAACCAGGA